rnacentral:tRNA from 1 species
CAGGGAGACAACAAAAUGUUUAAUAUUAUUAUUUUGUCACCUUAGGUCGAUCGGUAUCUCACAUUCUUAAUUUACUAAGAAUUUUAUUUCCUAAGUUUUUCUAGGUCACACCCAUUAUUUUUCCUGGGCCAUUAGCUCAGGUGGUUAGAGCGCACCCCUGAUAAGGGUGAGGUCCCUGGUUCAAGUCCAGGAUGGCCCAUAUCUCUAUGUUGGGGGUAUAGCUCAGUUGGUAGAGCGCCUGCUUUGCAAGCAGGAUGUCAGCGGUUCGAGUCCGCUUACCUCCACUGAUUACCACCUCUUCCAUAAUUUGUAGAAGGGAAUAUUUUGAGUUGUGAUCAAAUUCUGAACGAAUCUAGCUUCCUAAUGAAAUCAUUAAGAUGCUGGACUCAUUGAAUUAUUUUCAUUGUUUUCAGAGAACCUUGACAACUGCAUAGAUUAUUUUUAAAGACAAUAAGCAUCUUUAAUGAUGCAGAUUUAUUAUUUGUGCGAAUGCAUUAAUAACAAUUCUAUUGAGCUGAUGCUUCAAUUUUGAAGUUAUU